UAGCUUCGCAAGGAAGCCGGCUGACCGAGCCGCUCCAUCGGAUCCAAACUUCCAAACCAAGCUCGAGCUCGAACCCGAACCAAACCCUAGCUUCGGCUGCGGCUGCGAGCCUCCCUCUCCCCACGUUUCGAUCGGCGCCGUCGCCGGCUCGUCUCCUCCUUCCGUUCCUCCUCGGCUCCCCGCCUCCCGACUCCUCCCUCCCUCGGCAGCUCGGCUCCCCUUCGCCGCCGCCGCGAAAGAAGAAAUCGAGCCCAAUCGGCUGCGAUUUUGCCGCGCUGCGGUGGGUUUGUUUUGCGCUCAGAGGAUCGAGAAAUGGCUGACAUGACUCUCUUGCCUGUCGCCGGCGGCGUGGAGGGAGGAGGGCUGCAAGACGGGGUCGGGUCCAAGAAGAAGAAGACCAUGAAGUCGCUCUACCUGACAUUCUUCGAGGCCGCCUCCGACGGCAAGACACGCACCUGCAAGCUCUGCGGCAAGAGCUACUGCCUCACCACCGCCACCGGGAAUCUGGGAAAACAUCUGAAUAACCGGCACCCUGGUUAUGCCCAGCUCGCUGAUCUGCAGGGUAACGAUCCUACGCAAAGUACCAUUUCCAGCAUGUUUGCUCGGAACAAGAAACCUCAUGCUCCGAUCCGCGCUCGAACCCAAGUGCAGCAGCCGCAGUCUCAAGCCCAAGUUCAGGUCCAAGCUCAAGCGAAAGCUGGUGCUCAACCGAGAGCGAAGCCGGCGGUUGACGUGGACUAUGUCAACUGGUUGCUUCUAAGGUGGUUCAUCAGCUCCUCCUUCCCGCCUUGUGCCCUUGAGGAUAGCACGUUCGUCGACAGUUGCAAGUACCUGAACCCGUCUGUCAGGCUUUGGCCGAAAGAGAAGGCUCAGGAGAUUACUCUUCAGGUUUUUAAAAGCAUGAAGGAUGAUGUCAAGGCGUCUCUGCAACAUGUCAGGUCCCGGUUUUCCAUUGCGCUUGAGUUCUGGACUUCCUACGAGCAGAUAGUAUAUAUGUCUGUCAAGUGCCACUGGAUUGAUGAAAAUUGGGUCUCGCAGAAAGUUCUGCUUGAUGUGUGCCGGAUUCAGUACCAAUGCACCGGCUCCGAGAUUUUGCGAGUUCUGUUGACUGUCUUGCAGGAAUUUAACAUUGGUUCGAAAAUCCUUGCUUGCACACAUAAUAACAGCCAACAUGCAAUCCAUGCCUGUCAUGAGCUCAGCCUGGAGCUUGAGUCCCGUAAGCUCCCCUUCUGUUACAUCCCCUGUGCUGCAAGGACUCUAGGGACUAUCAUAGAAGAUGGCCUGAAAAAUGUGAAGACAGUCUUGUCCAAGAUCCGCGAGUUUAUUCUUGAGAUCAAUUCGAACCAGGAGAUGAUGGAGGAUUUUAAGCACUGGACUGAGGUUUAUCAAGAGGGAUCAUGGAAACUGCCAUUUGAUCAUUCGGCUAAUUGGAAUGGCAACUACAAUAUGCUUGAUGUAGUAAAGAAGACCCCUAAUGCAAUGGAUAACACCGUCAAGAAGUUUGAUGACAUCUUUGGACCGAGGGACUGGGUUCUUAGUGCCGAGGAGAAGUCAGUGGUCAAUUCAUUGCACUCAUACCUUGAGCCAUUCUAUAAAACUACAAUGAACCUUUGUACUUGCAAAUUACCAACGCUUGGUCUUGUUUUCUUCUUCAUGGACCAUGUCUUUGAGUUGAUCAAUGUCUGUCAUGACAGCAGCCACCAGAAAUUGUUUGAGAACAUUGCCAGAGACAUGUCCAAGACAGCUCGUGACUUCACAUCUCAAGCUUACAACAUCUACACCUUCGCAGCUGCAAUUCUUGAUCCAAGGAUAAAAGGAGAGCUCAUCCCUGAGACUCUCAACUCCACGAGCAACUUGGAGGAUGCAAGGGACCAUUUCGUCAGAGACUACAGUACCAUCUUUCAAGGUACUGGAAAUGGCUACAGCACCCAAGACAGCACCGAGGAUGGUGGCGCAUUCUCCUUUGCUGAAGAGAUUAUUCGUAAACGCCGUCGUGUGAGCAUGAGCACUGCUGCCGAUGAGCUUACUCAGUACCUUGCGGAGCCCCCUGCACCAAUUUCCACUGAUGCUCUUGAAUGGUGGAGGGGGCAUUCCUCCCGUUAUCCACGGCUAUCCUUGAUGGCACGUGACUUUUUGGCAAUCCAAGGGACCUCAUUGGACCCUGAAGAACUGUUCACAAGCAAAGGGGAGAGCAUCCACAAGCAGCAGUACUGUCUUCCUCUUAGUAGCAUGCAGGCUACAAUGUGUAUAAAAUCAUGGAUGCAAAGUGGGUAUCAGUUCAGUUUUCAGUCGACCAUUAUUGACUUCGAGAGAUUAGUCGAAUCUGCUACAGCUCCUGAUGCUGUAGAUGGUCCGGAGUGUUCUUGAUGAAUAAAUAUUCAGAAAUUCAGAAUCCUAGAUUAGUUCAAAUCAUCUGUCUCUUUGCCUUAGGUUCUCAUGUAAAUAGUGUUCAUCGAAGCUGCGAAUGCAGACAUGAAAGAGGAAGCAACUUGAAGUUUGCGAGGCAGGGGAGAGGAUACUGCCAGUAUUAUGUCUUUUGAGUCCUCCUAAGGCCUCGUUCGGUUGUACCGUUCACCGGAGAAUUGGAGAGGACUGAGAAGGGAUUCGGAAGGAAUUGAAAUGCAAUCCCUAAUUGCACAUCCGAACGAGCCCUAGGAGUUCUUUUAACAUAUUCUAAAAGUUCUCAAUUAUUGAUUUUGAAAGGCGAAUGCUGUGUAAAAAACAAACCUAUGCCUUUUAUUUUCAUGUACGAUGCUUGAAACACCAA